rnacentral:piRNA from 1 species
UAGAAGCCUCUGGUCUAUGGCAUGGUCCU